rnacentral:rRNA from 1 species
UACGGGGGGGGUAAGCGUUGUUCGGAUUUACUGGGCGUAAAGGGCGCGUAGGCGGUCAGCACAAGUCAGUUGUGAAAUCUCCGAGCUUAACUCGGAAAGGUCAACUGAUACUGUGCGACUAGAGUGCAGAAGGGGCAACUGGAAUUCUCGGUGUAGCGGUGAAAUGCGUAGAUAUCUGAAGGAACAUCAGUGGCGAAAGCGACUUCCUGGACCAAUACUGACGCUCAUGUGCGAAAGCGUGGGGAGCAAACAGG